rnacentral:rRNA from 1 species
ACUUGGCGGCGACCGGCGCACGGUGAGUAACACGUAUGCAACCAACCCAUAACAGGGGGAGUAACCCGAGAAAUCCGGACUAAUACGCAUAAGACCACGAUAUCGCAUGAUAUAGAGGUCAAAUAUUUAUAGGUUAUGGAUGGGCAUGCGUCUGAUUAGCUGGUUGGCGGGGUAACGGCCCACCAAGGCAUCGAUCAGUAGGGGUUCGUGAGAGGAAGGUCCCCCCACAUUGGAACUGAGACACGGUCCAAACUCCUACGGGAGGCAGCAGUGAGGAAUAUUGGUCAAUGGGCGAAAGCCUGAACCAGCCAUGUCGCGUGAAGGAAUGAAGGUCCUAUGGAUUGUAAACUUCUCUUGCAGGAGGGUAAAGUGAGCUACGUGUAGUUCAUUGCAAGUACCCUGCGAAUAAGCAUCGGCUAACUCCGUGCCAGCCGCGGC